UAGUGUGCUAGCCAGGUAAUGUCUUUGUUCAUACCUUUAUGAUGUGUCCCAAACCUGUAAAAUUUGUAAAUGAAGUUAAGUUCCAAAGCUUCCCUGUGUAUUUGGUUUGUGGAAUUUGCCGGACAACAUGAUGACUUGGAGAUCCAUUAAUGAGUGCUCAGGCAAGUUAAAAUGUUCUCCCAACAGGUUUCUGUGUGGAGCCUUUUCGGAUAUCUGAUUUGUGUCCAUUAAUACUUUCCUGUACAGACUGUCCAAGAUACAUGACAGAGGGGCAUUGCUGGCAUUUGAUGGCAUACAUCACAUUAGUGGAUGUGCAGUUAAAUGAGCAUCUGAUGUGAUGGCUGAUGUGGUUGGGUCCAGUGUGAUGUGGUUCCUAGAUGAUUAUGAUGUAGGUGUACUGCAUGGUUACUGGAAAGAAUUUGUUUGAGGUUAGGGGGUUGUGUGUAGGCAAGGACUGGCCUUUCCCCCAAGGCCAGUGAGAGUGAGGGGUCAUUUUCCAGGAUAGGUUGUAGAUUGUUGAUAAUGAGCUUGAGGGGUUUAAGUUGUGGAUUGUAGGUGAUGACAAGUGGUGCUCUGGUUUCUCUUCUUGGCUUGUAAUGAAGUAGUUCAUGUCUGGGUGCUCUUCUGAUCUGUUUUUUCACGUCUCUCGGUGGGUAUUUCAGUUUUAAGAAUGCUCUAUACAGAUCCUGUAGGUCUCUGUCUCUCUGUGGGAUUGGAGCAAAUCUAGCUGUAUUUUAGGGCCUGGCUGUAAACAACUGAUUGGUAAAUGUGUCUUGGAUGGAAGCUAGAGACAUGUAGGUAAGUGUGGCGGUCGGUAGGUUUCUGGUAUAAAGUGGCGGAAAUGUGUCAAAAAAGUGGCUCUCUCGUGUGGACUGAUCCAGGCUGAUCCAUCUCUGUAGUUGGUUUGUGAAAUUCCUUUGUAGAAGAAUGGCUACUUUUAAAUCCAUUAAUCAGUGCCCAUGCAGGUUUUCUAAUUGAUUUCUGUUGCACUUUAACUAUGAAAUUUUACAUGAACAUUAGGGGGCAUUUACUAUUCUCAAGUGAUAAAAAGGUGGAAAGUACCAUAUCCUCUUGCAGAAUCUCACAUUUACUGCUUAAACUUCCAACAAAGACACUAAAUUUGCCCAGAAAAGGGUACUAAGUACACAUUUUUCACUUGCCCAAUGAAUUAACUAAUGUAAGAAAAAAAUGAAGGACAAAGACAUUACAUUUCUCUGUUACAGGGGAGAUUCUAAGCUUUCUCCAAGGGCUCUUUCAUCUCACUGCUGCCUCCUCCCACCAACUCCUAUCUUAAAAGGACAGGUAUGGAAAAAAUUGACAUUCAGGGAAGAUGGAGAAGAGUUCAGCUGUUAGAGACUCCUAUUUGCCAGAGACUCAUGUAAAAGAGCCCCUAAGCAUGAUUUGCCCAAGUCCCCAUAAUGAAUAUAGUUUUCAGUUCUGUAGAAAUUUGGGGCUCAAGUUCUUCAAUCUUCUCUUCCAAUAUGGAGAUCAGCUUGCACUUCGUACAGUCAUUUCUAUCCUCCAGGAGAAAGACAUACAUGGCAUAUCCUUUGCAGGUCACAACAGCUGAUCAUUCACUAUCCAUACUGUCUUCCUUGUAACAGCCUCUUCAGAUACUGUAUUUACUGAAUUAGGAAGCUUGAAAAGGCACAAAAAACCAAGCACACCUGUGCGAACUCUCCCUAGGUCAACUCUCAGGCAUGUUUGCCUUCCAAUAAAAGAUCAUAAGGCAUCUUUACUGAAAUAAGCUACAGCCGUAUAAGCAGUAUAACUGGAUCCACAGUAGGAGGCUACAGCCAUUUAACUAUGUAAGUUCAGAAACCAAUAUAAUUAAAAUUGCUUCAAAAAAA